rnacentral:rRNA from 1 species
UCCCUGCCAUUUGUACACACCGCCCGUCGCUCCUACCGAUUGAAUGAUCCGGUGAAAUGUUCGGAUCGCGGCGACGUGGGCGGUUCGCUGCCCGCGACGUCGCGAGAAGUCCAUUGAACCUUAUCAUUUAGAGGAAGGAGAAGUCGUAACAAGGUUUCCGUAGGUGAACCUGCAGAAGGA